AUUGAACGCUGGCGGCAUGCCUUACACAUGCAAGUCGAACGGUAACGGGCCUUCGGGUGCCGACGAGUGGCGAACGGGUGAGUAAUGUAUCGGAACGUACCUUUCAGUGGGGGAUAACGUAGCGAAAGUUACGCUAAUACCGCAUAUUCUGUGAGCAGGAAAGCAGGGGAUCGCAAGACCUUGCGCUGAUUGAGCGGCCGAUAUCAGAUUAGCUAGUUGGUGAGGUAAAGGCUCACCAAGGCGACGAUCUGUGGCGGGUCUGAGAGGAUGAUCCGCCACACGGGAACUGAGACACGGUCCAGACUCCUACGGGAGGCAGCAGUGGGGAAUUUUGGACAAUGGGGGCAACCCUGAUCCAGCCAUGCCGCGUGAGUGAAGAAGGCCUUCGGGUUGUAAAGCUCUUUCGGCCGGGAAGAAAUCGUAUCAGCUAAUACCUGGUGCGGAUGACGGUACCGGCAUAAGAAGCACCGGCUAACUACGUGCCAGCAGCCGCCGUAAGAC
rnacentral:rRNA from 1 species